rnacentral:misc_RNA from 1 species
GUAUUAAUUUAAAAGUCUUUCGACUUGAUAAACAUUCAAAGUAAAUUAUAAGAGUAUGUGAUUAACCAGAGUCUCUAUUUUACUAGCGACUCCGAUAAACAAGUGCACAGGUGUGUAUGGAUUAGAGGGAACGAGCACAUGCACAAAGGCCAGCAUCAAUUCCCUAAAUUCAUUAAUGAUCCUUCCGCAGGUUCACCUACGGAAA